GCCGGGUGUGGUGGCUCAUGCCUGUAAUCCCAGCACUUUGGGAGGCAGAGGCAGGAGGAUUGCUUGAGCUCAGGAGUUCAAAACCAGCCUGGGCAACACAGCAAGACCCUGUCUCUA
rfam:Gorilla gorilla gorilla genomic chromosome, chr6, whole genome shotgun sequence